rnacentral:rRNA from 1 species
UACGUAGGGUGCAAGCGUUGUCCGGAAUUAUUGGGCGUAAAGAGCUCGUAGGCGGUCUGUCGCGUCUGCUGUGAAAACCUAGGGCUUAACUCCGGGCCUGCAGUGGGUACGGGCAGACUAGAGUGCGGUAGGGGAGACUGGAAUUCCUGGUGUAGCGGUGAAAUGCGCAGAUAUCAGGAGGAACACCGGUGGCGAAGGCGGGUCUCUGGGCCGUAACUGACGCUGAGGAGCGAAAGCGUGGGGAGCGAACAGG